rnacentral:antisense_RNA from 1 species
GGCCUCAGCCGGCGCACCUGGCGGAAGAGGAACCUCGCGAAGCGCUGUCGGGCACCGGUUUCUCCCAGCAAAGCUUGGAGGGUUUAGCUGCGGAGAGAGCUCAGCGAGCUCUCCUGUGCCUGUUUGGGGCGUGUGGGCUCCGGGAGCGUGAGGACCGGGAAGCUGGGAGGCUCCUUCCCUUCUGGUGGCUCCCUCACUGAGACCGGGCGGUUUGGUUGCGGGGGACGUGGAGGCGAGCCACCCUUGACCUUUGCAAGGACUCACCUUGAGCAGGAUAGAGGCACGUGAACGGUGACCCUCGGGGUGCAAUAAAUGCUGAGACAGAGCAGCAAACAUUCAGUGGGCCAGACACUGUUCUGAAAAAUACACAGUCGACUCUUGAACAACACAGGCUUGAACUGCAUGCGGCCACUAAUACUCAGACUUUCUUCUGCCUUUGCCACCCCUAAGACAGCAAGACCAACCCCUCCUGCUCCUCAGCCUACUCGAUGUGAUGAUGCCUGGCUUCCUUUUCCCUUCAAUGGAAUAACAUAUACAAACUCUACCUAAGAGUGCUGUGUGAAGUACAUGCCAGUCUACAAGACAUGUCUCUAACCAAGUCGAAAGAGUGCAGUAUUCAUUCAUUCAUUCAUUCAUUCAUUCAUUCAACAAAUGUUUAUUAACAGGUAU